ensembl:lncRNA
AUCAAAGCCACCGAGAGAGAGAACGACCAAGGGAAGGAUAGCGCAAGGAUCAGCUCCGAUCCUGCUUUCCACGGCAGGGGUCAUCGUCUCUCACCUGAAGAUAAGAUACGCUGAGCCAGAUUGGACAUGUUGAAAGGACAUGUUUCCAAUUUGACUCAUGAUGCCCCUCCCUUGUCUGCAAUCUCUCUUUUCUUCUCAUCGUCCCUCCCUAUUUUUACCAUGUCUGUCUGUCUGAAGGCUCCAUGUGUCUCACACCUGAUUAAUUCAGCUUUGGCCAAACACAGGGAUCAAUAAAUCAGUGAUGUCCGGUUUGUGAAUGAAUCAUUCUUUUGAACUGGUUCACUCAAAUCAGACUGAAUUGGAACAGUUUGUGACAGAUCUUUUCUUCCAAAUUGUUACACAACUGAAAAAGAAAAAGAAAAAAAGUAGGGCGGGGUUUGGUUAUAUGCACCUUUUUUUGAUUGGAUAAAGAGAUGAGGGCGUGGCACUCAAAAGGAGAGUUUGCAGGGUGGAGUUUAAGACAAUAAACUGAGUGGAGAAAUCCGUCGCGCUCACUGGAAGAUCUAGAAGAUCUCAGAAGUUCACCGGAAGAUGUGUAAUGUUUGAUUAAAUGUUGCAAGGUUUGUGUCAAAGUUCAGUGAUUGGCUGUGCUGCUCUGAACACAUCUGAGCUGGUUUGGCGGUCUAUUCUUCAUCCACACAUCUGGCCAAUGAACAAGCGUCCUGGACUGAAUGUGAGAACACCAGGCUGCUGCCUUUCCCAGCCUCCCGGCCCUGGAGAGCAGCGUGGACACUCCUAAUGUGGGAAUAUCCAGGAGGGGACAGGGGAGACAAUCCAAGCCA